CAUAAGGGUCAGUCAGUUAAGGGGAAAUCCUCGUCAUUGGGGGGAAUGCUUGACCGAGCCAUCGCCGCGUGAGUGAGACGUUUUCGGAUCGUAAAGCUCUGUGUUAAGGAAAGAACGUGUGUGAGAGUGAAAGUUCACACAGUGACGGUACUUAACCCAGAAAGGGACGGCUAACUACGUGCCAGCAGCCGCGGUAAUACGUAGGUCCCGAGCGUUGUCCGGAUUUAUUGGGCGUAAAGCGAGCGCAGGCGGUUAGAUAAGUCUGAAGUGAAAGGCAGUGGCUCAACCAUUGUAGGCUUUGGAAACUGUUUAACUUGAGUGCAGAAGGGGAGAGUGGAAUUCCAUGUGUAGCGGUGAAAUGCGUAGAUAUAUGGAGGAACACCGGUGGCGAAAGCGGCUCUCUGGUCUGUAACUGACGCUGAGGCUCGAAAGCGUGGGGAGCGAACAGGAUUAGAUACCCUGGUAGUCCACGCCGUAAACGAUGAGUGCUAGGUGUUAGGUCCUUUCCGGGACUUAGUGCCGCAGCUAACGCAUUAAGCACUCCGCCUGGGGAGUACGACCGCAAGGUUGAAACUCAAAGGAAUUGACGGGGGCCCGCACAAGCGGUGGAGCAUGUGGUUUAAUUCGAAGCAACGCGAAGAACCUUACCAGGUCUUGACAUCCCUCUGACCACUCUAGAGAUAGAGUUUCCCUUCGGGGCAGAGGUGACAGGUGGUGCAUGGUUGUCGUCAGCUCGUGUCGUGAGAUGUUGGGUUAAGUCCCGCAACGAGCGCAACCCUUAUUGUUAGUUGCCAUCAUUCAGUUGGGCACUCUAGCGAGACUGCCGGUAAUAAACCGGAGGAAGGUGGGGAUGACGUCAAAUCAUCAUGCCCCUUAUGACCUGGGCUACACACGUGCUACAAUGGCUGGUACAACGAGUCGCAAGCCGGUGACGGCAAGCUAAUCUCUGAAAGCCAGUCUCAGUUCGGAUUGUAGGCUGCAACUCGCCUACAUGAAGUCGGAAUCGCUAGUAAUCGCGGAUCAGCACGCCGCGGUGAAUACGUUCCCGGGCCUUGUACACACCGCCCGCCACCACGAGAGUUUGUAACACCCGAAGUCGUGAGGUACGUAGGAGCCAGCACGUUAACGU
rnacentral:rRNA from 1 species